UCUUUUCCUUUUAAAAUAAACUUAAGGCUCCUCAGUUAACUUCACUCCUUUGUGGGGACAAAAUCGUAAAAAUGUCGAAGAAGAAAAAGCACAACUCAGACUCCGACGAAGACGACACUUUCUACUACCGUUACUCCUCCGCACCAUCACCGGCGCCGCCGUCCUCCGCCGCCACAUCCAAAACCCUAACAAAACCCUCACACGUCAGCAAAACCCUAGCUCCAUCAAAAUCAACAGUAUACGUAAGUAAUCUCGAUUAUACCCUUACAAAUUCAGAUCUCCACACAAUCUUCUCAACCUUCGGUAAAGUAGCAAAAGUAACUGUAGUUAAAGAUCGGGUUACCCGAAAGAGCCGUGGUGUAGCUUUUAUUCUAUUUGUUUGUAGAGAUGAUGCGGUUAAAGCUGUUAAAGGAAUUGACAAAAAAGUCCUUAAUGGAAGAACUUUAACGGCGUCGAUUGCAUCGGAUAAUGGAAGGGCAGCAGAGUUUAUAAGGAAGAAAGUUUAUAAGGAUAAAAGUAGGUGUUAUGAAUGUGGUGAAGAAGGACAUUUAUCGUAUGAGUGUCCGAAAAAUAAACUUGGUCCUAGGGAAAGACCCGAGCCCUCGAAGAAAGGGCGGAGAGGAAUAAAGAAUUUUGGGAGCAACAGUGGUAGUGGUGGUGGAGGAAAGGGGGGUGGUGGGGGUGGUGAGUGGGAGGAUGAGGAGGAGGAGGGGGAUGAUGACGUGGCAGCAAGUUUUGAUGAUGAUAAUUGGGCGUCGGUGGUGGACAGGGGAGCAGAGGAGAGGUUAUUGAAAGGAGAUAAUGAGGAAUUCAAGAAGGAGAAAAGGGGGGAGAAGAGGAAAGGUUAUUUUAGUGAUGAGAGUGAUGAGGAGGAUUGAUUUUCUUAUAGUGGAAUUAGAUGAGGAAAAAUGGGAGCCUUUAGCUUGUUUCUAAAGGUUUUGAGGAAUGGUUUUCAAUGGUGUUAAUUGAAGUAAAAGAGAAGGUAACAUGGAAAAUCUUAGCUUUAACCAAUAGGAGUAGCUAGAGUACCCGAGGUUGGUGGUGAAGGAUUUGGAUCAUCUGGUUUUGGAGCAGCACAGAAAUUUUUAUUCACGAGAUAUCAACAUGUUUGUUGUCAUUCUUGUCUCUCUUGUUCGUUCAUCAUUUUGGAUCUGGGGCUUGGAGCUCGCGAAGAUUUUAAGGUCCCUGUGAAGUUUUCAGAAUCGCUUCAAAGUUUUCUUCAUUGAAAUAGAGCUAAACUGUCACUGAGCACCAUAUUCAGGUACUCCGAGCAUGUCAAUGCAAGCCAUUGGGCACUCCUGUUACUCUUGUGGAUUAACUACUUGACAAGUUAGUUAGAUAGCUCUUUAUUUGAGGAUGAAACUAUGCAGAAUG